rnacentral:rRNA from 1 species
GACGAACGCUGGCGGCGUGCCUAAUACAUGCAAGUUGAGCGCUGAAGGUUGGUACUUGUACCAACUGGAUGAGCAGCGCACGGGUGAGUAACGCGUGGGGAAUCUGCCUUUGAGCGGGGGACAACAUUUGGAAACGAAUGCUAAUACCGUAUAAAAACUUUAAACACAAGUUUUAAGUUUGAAAGAUGCAAUUGCAUCACUCAAAGAUGAUCCCGCGUUGUAUUAGCUAGUUGGUGAGGUAAAGGCUCACCAAGGCGAUGAUACAUAGCCGACCUGAGAGGGUGAUCGGCCACAUUGGGACUGAGACACGGCCCAAACUCCUACGGGAGGCAGCAGUAGGGAAUCUUCGGCAAUGGACGAAAGUCUGACCGAGCAACGCCGCGUGAGUGAAGAAGGUUUUCGGAUCGUAAAACUCUGUUGGUAGAGAAGAACGUUGGUGAGAGUGGAAAGCUCAUCAAGUGACGGUAACUACCCAGAAAGGGACGGCUAACUACGUG